UCUUAUUUAGAGAGGUGGAGGGAUGUGCCCGAUGAAACCCAGCAACCGUCAACUUAUGUUGAAAAGGUGCCAAAUCACACAAAGCAAGAGCUUUGGAAGAUGAGA
rnacentral:ncRNA from 1 species